GAUUGAACUUAAGAGUUUGAUCCUGGCUCAGAUUGAACGCUGGCGGCAUGCUUUACACAUGCAAGUCGAACGGCAGCGGGGGCUUCGGCCUGCCGGCGAGUGGCGAACGGGUGAGUAAUGCAUCGGAACGUGCCCAUGUCGUGGGGGAUAACGUAGCGAAAGCUACGCUAAUACCGCAUACGUCCUGAGGGAGAAAGCGGGGGAUCUUCGGACCUCGCGCGAUUGGAGCGGCCGAUGUCGGAUUAGCUAGUUGGUGGGGUAAAGGCCCACCAAGGCGACGAUCCGUAGCGGGUCUGAGAGGAUGAUCCGCCACACUGGGACUGAGACACGGCCCAGACUCCUACGGGAGGCAGCAGUGGGGAAUUUUGGACAAUGGGCGCAAGCCUGAUCCAGCCAUGC
rnacentral:rRNA from 1 species